rnacentral:ribozyme from 1 species
UGCCCAGCAACUCCUAUCCCUACCUCCUCGUGGUACUGGCCGAGGUACGAAUAACCUUGGGGAACCAAUCCCGGUGAGAACUUUGGUCGAAUGCUGACAGGGGACG